GAAAUGCGAUACGUAGUGUGAAUUGCAGAAUUCCGUGAACCAUCGAAUCUUUGAACGCAUAUUGCGCUCGAGCCCUCGGGCAAGAGCAUGUCUGCCUCAGCGUCGGUUUACACCCUCACCCCUCCCAACUUGUUGGGUGUGCUUGCUGUUUUUGCAAGCCACUGGGGUGGAUCUGGCUUCCCCAAUCAGCCAUUACAGGCAGAUUGGGUUGGCUGAAGUGCAGAGGCGUAAGCAAGGACCCAAUAUGGGCUUCAACUGGAUAGGUAGCCCCGGCUUUUGCCGACUACACGAAGUUGUUGCUUGUGGACCUUGCUAGAAGCCAAGCAGGAACGUGCCUCCGGCACGUCUAAACUUUCGACCUGAGCUCAGGCAAGAUUACCCGCUGAACUUAA
rnacentral:misc_RNA from 1 species